AAGGUUUUAAGUUAACCAAACUAAUAGCCUUCAAAGCUAUAAAUAAAGAAAGUUCUUUAAACCUUA
rnacentral:tRNA from 1 species